AUACGAAGGGGGCUAGCGUUGUUCGGAAUUACUGGGCGUAAAGCGCAUGUAGGCGGACAUUUAAGUCAGGGGUGAAAUCCCGGGGCUCAACCUCGGAACUGCCUUUGAUACUGGGUGUCUAGAGUGUGGAAGAGGUAAGAGGAAUUCCGAGUGUAGAGGUGAAAUUCGUAGAGAUCGGGAGGAACACCAGUGGCGAAGGCGACUAACUGGACUGUAACUGACGCUGAGGCGCGAAAGUGUGGGGAGC
rnacentral:rRNA from 1 species